GUACUACUGAACAGUCCCAAACUAAGACGAAACGGCUGUCCAGUAC
rnacentral:hammerhead_ribozyme from 1 species